rnacentral:rRNA from 1 species
UGGGGAAUAUUGCACAAUGGGCGCAAGCCUGAUGCAGCCAUGCCGCGUGUGUGAAGAAGGCCUUCGGGUUGUAAAGCACUUUCAGCGGGGAGGAAGGCGAUAAGGUUAAUAACCUUGUCGAUUGACGUUACCCGCAGAAGAAGCACCGGCUAACUCCGUGCCAGCAGCCGCGGUAAUACGGAGGGUGCAAGCGUUAAUCGGAAUUACUGGGCGUAAAGCGCACGCAGGCGGUCUGUCAAGUCGGAUGUGAAAUCCCCGGGCUCAACCUGGGAACAGCAGUCGAAACUGGCAGGCUAGAGUGUUGUAGAGGGGGGUAGAAUUCCAGGUGUAGCGGUGAAAUGCGUAGAGAUCUGGAGGAAUACCGGUGGCGAAGGCGGCCCCCUGGACAAAGACUGACGCUCAGGUGCGAAAGCGUGGGGAGCAAACAGG